UAGCUCAGUUGGUAGAGCAUAGCGCUUGCAAUGCCAAAAUAGUGGGUUCUACUCCUAU
rnacentral:tRNA from 1 species